rnacentral:rRNA from 1 species
UACGUAGGGGGCAAGCGUUGUCCGGAAUCAUUGGGCGUAAAGCGCGUGUAGGCGGUCCGGUAAGUCCGCUGUGAAAGUCGGGGGCUCAACCCUCGGAUGCCGGUGGAUACUGUCGGGCUAGAGUGCGGAAGAGGCGAGUGGAAUUCCUGGUGUAGCGGUGAAAUGCGCAGAUAUCAGGAGGAACACCGAUUGCGAAGGCAGCUCGCUGGGACGUCACUGACGCUGAGACGCGAAAGCGUGGGGAGCAAACAGG